AUAAUUAUUGCAAUUAAAUGGUUUGUGAAUAACUAAUUAAUACUUUUUGCAAGUUGAUUAAUUAGAUGCUAUGUGCAGUGAAUGAAAUGAAAGUAAGAGACAACAAAGCAAUCACAAACACAAUGAUUUUAUAGUGGUUCGGAGCUAACCCUUGCACCUACGUCCACUCCCCAAGCCUCACUUGGGAAUUCACUAUAACC
rnacentral:lncRNA from 1 species